UACGUAGGGUGCAAGCGUUAAUCGGAAUUACUGGGCGUAAAGCGUACGCAGGCGGCUUUGCAAGACAGGUGUGAAAUCCCCGGGCCUAACCUGGGAACUGCAUUUGUGACUGCAUAGCUAGAGUUUGUCAGAGGGGGGUGGAAUUCCACGUGUAGCAGUGAAAUGCGUAGAUAUGUGGAGGAACACCGAUGGCGAAGGCAGCCCCCUGGGAUGUGACUGACGCUGAGACGCGAAAGCGUGGGGAGCAAACAGG
rnacentral:rRNA from 1 species